rnacentral:rRNA from 1 species
GGGUUGGCUUGGUGGUCCGCCGCAAGGCGAGCACUACUGAGUUGGCCCUUCCUCUCGAAGGCUGCAGGUGCUCUUAACUGAGUGUUUGUAGAACUCGGGAUCUUUACUUUGAAAAAAUUAGAGUGUUCAAAGCAGGCUUACGCUUGAAUACAUUAGCAUGGAAUAAUGGAAUAGGACUUUGGUUCUAUUUUGUUGGUUUCUAGAACUGAAGUA